CGCGCUACCAUGCAAGUCGAACGGGAGCGGCCAAGCCCGCAAGGGCUUGUCCGCAAGAGUGGCGGACGGGUGAGUAACGCGUAGGCAACCAACCCCUUGGCGGGGGACAGCCCCGGGAAACCGGGAGUAAUACCGCAUAAGCCGGCGGGGGCGCAUGCCCCUGCCGGGAAAGCAGCGAUGCGCCAAGGGACGGGCCUGCGUCCCAUUAGGUAGUUGGCGGGGCAACGGCCCACCAAGCCCGCGAUGGGUAGCCGGCCUGAGAGGGCGAUCGGCCACAUUGGGACUGAGACACGGCCCAGACUCCUGCGGGAGGCAGCAGUGGGGAAUAUUGCGCAAUGGGGGAAACCCUGACGCAGCGACGCCGCGUGGGCGACGAAGGCCUUCGGGCCGUAAAGCCCUGUCUCCGGGGGAGAAAAGCGACGGUACCCGGGGAGGAAGCCCCGGCCAAUCACGUGCCAGCAGCCGCGGUAAUGCGUGAGGGGCGAGCGUUGUCCGGAAUCACUGGGCGUAAAGCGCGCGCAGGCGGCCUGGCCGGUCGCCCGUGAAAGCCCGGGGCCCAACCCCGGAAGCGCGGGCGAUACCGCCAGGCUGGAGUCCCGGAGGGGCUGGCGGAACUCCUGGUGUAGCGGUGAAAUGCGCAGAGAUCAGGAGGAACACCGGCGGCGAAGGCGGCCAGCUGGACGGGCACUGACGCUGAGGCGCGAGAGCGUGGGGAGCGAACAGGAUUAGAUACCCUGGUAGUCCACGCCGUAAACGAUGAAUACCAGGUGGCGGGGCAACCCGGCGCCGAAGCGAACGCGAUGAGUAUUCCGCCUGGGGAGUACGCCCGCAAGGGUGAAACUCAAAGGAAUUGACGGGGGCCCGCACAAGCAGCGGAGCAUGUGGUUUAAUUCGAAGCAACGCGAAGAACCUUACCAGCCUUGACAUCCCGCGGCGGCCGAGGAGACUCGGCUUCCCCUCCGGGGGCGCGGAGACAGGUGGUGCAUGGUUGUCGUCAGCUCGUGUCGUGAGAUGUUGGGUCAAGUCCCGCAACGAGCGCAACCCUGUCCCUGGUUGCCAGGGGCCCG
rnacentral:rRNA from 1 species